GGGUCGCGUUAACCCCGGGUGAGCUUGGCUUGCAAGCGAGUGGCCGCAGGUUCGAAACCUGCCGCGCCCACCA
rnacentral:tRNA from 1 species